UACGUAGGGUGCGAGCGUUGUCCGGAAUUAUUGGGCGUAAAGAGCUUGUAGGCGGUUUGUCGCGUCUGCUGUGAAAAUCCGGGGCUCAACCCCGGACUUGCAGUGGGUACGGGCAGACUAGAGUGUGGUAGGGGAGACUGGAAUUCCUGGUGUAGCGGUGAAAUGCGCAGAUAUCGGGAGGAACACCGGUGGCGAAGGCGGUUCUCUGGGCCUGACCUGACGCUGAGGAGCGAAAGCGUGGGGAGCAAACAGG
rnacentral:rRNA from 1 species